UUACUUUCCCGGCAAGGGAGAUACCAUGAUCGAGAAGGUGGUUUUCCCAGGGCGAGACUUAUCCAUUGCACUCCGAAUGUGCUGACCCCUGCGAUUUCCCCAAAUGUGGGAAACUCAACUGCACAAUUUCUGAUAGUGGGGUUCUGCGUUUGCACUCUCCCCCC